rnacentral:pre_miRNA from 1 species
UUUUCUAGCCUCCUCAUUGUGCAUGCUGUGUGUCUUGAUGUAGUUCUCACAGCGCCUGCAAUGUGGAGGCCAGGAGA